rnacentral:rRNA from 1 species
AACGUAGGACACAAGCGUUAUCCGGAGUUACUGGGCGUAAAGGGCGUGUAGGCGGAUCGGUAAGUCUACUCUGAAAGCUCCUGGCUAAACUGGGAGAGGCGAGUGGAGACUGUCGGUCUAGAGUGAGGAAGAGGAAAGUGGAAUUCCGCGUGUAGUGGUGAAAUGCGUAGAUAUCCGAAGGAACACCGGUGGCGAAGGCGGCACGCUGGACACCUUCUGACGCUGAGGCGCGAAAGCCAGGGGAGCAAACGGG